GACGAACGCUGGCGGCGUGCUUAACACAUGCAAGUCGAACGGAAAGGCCUGCUUUCCCUUGUGGAUUGCGGGUACUCGAGUGGCGAACGGGUGAGUAACACGUGAGUGAUCUGCCCCCAACUUGGGUAUAAGCCUGGGAAACUGGGUCUAAUUCCCGAUAGGACUGCAGGGUGGUGCCUGUGGUGGAAAACGAUUUUCUAGUGGUUGGGGAUGAGCUCGCGGCCUAUCAGCUUGUUGGUGGGGUAAUGGCCUACCAAGGCGGCGACGGGUAGCCGGCCUGAGGGGGUGGACGGCCACAUUGGGACUGAGAUACGGCCCAGACUCCUACGGGAGGCAGCAGUGGGGAAUAUUGCACAAUGGGCGGAAGCCUGAUGCAGCGACGCCGCGUGGGGGAUGACGGGCUUCGGGUUGUAAACUCCUUUCGACCGCGAGGAAGCCACCUGGUUGGAAGGGUGGUGACGGUAGUGGUAGAAGAAGCACCGGCUAACUACGUG
rnacentral:rRNA from 1 species